rnacentral:rRNA from 1 species
GUUUGAUCCUGGCUCAGGACGAACGCUGGCGGCGUGCCUAACACAUGCAAGUCGAGCGGAGACAGUGAGUAGCUUGCUAUGAGCUGUUUUAGCGGCGGACGGGUGAGUAACGCGUGAGCAACCUUUCCCAGACAGGGGAAUAACACACCGAAAGGUGUACUAAUACCGCAUAAGACCACGGGAUCACAUGGUUCUGAGGUAAAAGAUUUAUCGGUUUGGGGUGGGCUCGCGUCCGAUUAGGUAGUUGGUGAGGUAACGGCCCACCAAGCCGACGAUCGGUAGCCGACCUGAGAGGGUGAUCGGCCACAUUGGGACUGAGACACGGCCCAAACUCCUACGGGAGGCAGCAGUGGGGAAUAUUGGGCAAUGGAGGAAACUCUGACCCAGCAACGCCGCGUGGAGGAAGAAGGUUUUCGGAUCGUAAACUCCUGUCCUUGGAGACGAGUAGAAGACGGUAUCCAAGGAGGAAGCCCCGGCUAACUACGUGCCAGCAGCCGCGGUAAUACGUAGGGGGCAAGCGUUGUCCGGAAUAAUUGGGCGUAAAGGGCGCGUAGGCGGCUCGGUAAGUCUGGAGUGAAAGUCCUGCUUUUAAGGUGGGAAUUGCUUUGGAUACUGUCGGGC